CCUCUGGUAGCUCAGUUGGUAGAGCGGUGGACUGUGGAUCCGUAGGUCGCUGGUUCAAAUCCGGCCCAGAGGA